GUUAGGGUUUGGAAAUGCCUAGAGCAGAAAGGACCCUACUGAGGGGCGACUUGCUUCUGAUGAGGAGAUCUCACUCCAAUGAAGAAUCUGAUGUUCAACCCUUAUUCUUUGUCAGAUCUGACAGUUCCCUGAUUUCAAGCAGGAGAUGGAACUCCUGCUUAUCGAACAUUGAAUCAAUGAUUUACCACAUUCGCAAUAGCGACGUUAAAGGAGAGGAACAGGUCGAGCAGGCAUUCGGCCUUGUUGACUCAUCCAGAUCAGUGACUUUGCCAACAAGCUUAAUCUAUCGCCGGCGUUGGUAAUCACAUUCAGAGGGGAAUUCCCGAAAAGACCCUUGAUUAAGGAUGAUGAAGGGCGUUCAUGGAUGGUACGAUAGAGAAAACUGGCUAGGUGAAGCUUCAUACACAAUGAUUGGCAAACGGUCGUGAAGGAUAACCAAUUACAUUUGGUGACUUCUUGGUUUUCAAUUUGGCUUCCAAUUCUGUGUUCAACGUCGUGGCAUAUAGUCCAAGUUGCUGCGAAAAGAGGCUGAUUUUGUUUUUAUGCGGGUAUAUGGCCAUGAAUUGAGAGAAGCUGAUUUUUAUGUGGGUUUAGGGCUGAAAAUUUAAUUCUUACUGAUGGUGAGAUCCUAGAGUUGGCGUCUGUCUGUCUUAACUUUCAGUGAUCUUGAAUGGGAAAUUUGUAUCUAUACAUGAAAUCUUUUGAAGAGGCCAAGAAUUAUAUUUUGUGUUUAUGCUGACAUACCAAACAAUGGCUUCAAAUAGCUAAUUGAUUCUUAUUGACAGUGAGAUAUCUGUGUUAAUGUCUGUCUAACUUUUUGAUGGCCAUGAAUGGGAAAAUAUGAAUGGUUUUGUAGAUGCCAUGAAUUGAUGAAUGACUACUUUUGCCCAGGUUAAUGUUUUACUAUCUGUGGGCAGGCUUUCUCACAAUAUUUGCAGUUUUCCCUGAAAAAGAAGAAAAAAAAAAAAAAAGCAGGAAAGAUAAAAAAAAAUUAAAAGCAAAUCCUGUAAGUACUAUGAUGAGUUAAAACUUUUAGCCAUGCAGGACCUGUUGGAUUCAUAAUUCAAAAGGGUUUUUGACCAAAAAAAUAAUGAUACCAUUCUAUUUACAAAUUUAGCUGCAUCACUAGUACUUGACAGCAAAUCAUUGAUUUGAGUAAUGAAAUUUUCAAUGUUUCAGUUCCAGUGAAAGCUUAGAUGACUGACUGGAAAAAGUUGAUCCAUGAAUGGAAGAAACUCAUCACGAGCAUAUGAAAUCAUAUUGGAUGACUUUAAAGAAUUAUCAGAGAUGAUGUGGAUACGGUUGCUCCCAGCAUGACUAUGAAUAUCUGUUAUGGGAUGCAUCAUAUUACCAAUGGUGGCAAACCAAGCCUUCCGUAACUGCUGGUCCUCCUAAGGCUACAAUCAAUUGCCCCCAUGACAAGAGCUUUUCACCUCGAUAGAGCAAUCUUCGUCUAGUAGUUGCAUUUAGUUCCAUGCUUCCAUUUUGUUAGUUCCUUCCAGACAUUGAAAUAAACUGUUAGCCUGGACACUCCCAGGUUAUAGGCACUUCCAAAUGCUCGGCUACUAAAGUUUGUCCCCGACAGGACCUUAACAA